ACGGCUCAGUAACACGUGGACAACCUACCCUUGGGUCUGGCAUAAUCCUGGGAAACUGGGUAUAAUUCCGGAUAGGUCACAGAUGCUGGAAUGCACUGUGGCCGAAAGCUCCGGCGCCCAAGGAUGGGUCUGCGGCCUAUCAGGGUUGUAGUGGGUGUAACGGACCUACUAGCCUACGACGGGUACGGGUUGUGAGAGCAAGAGCCCGGAGAUGGAUUCUGAGACACGAAUCCAGGCCCUACGGGGUGCAGCAGGCGCGAAGACUUUACAAUGCGGGAAACCGUGAUAAGGGAAUCUCGAGUGCCAGCAUAUAAUGUUGGCUGUCCAGAUGCCUAAAAAGCAUCUGUUAGCAAGGGCCGGGCAAGACCGGUGCCAGCCGCCGCGGUAACACCGGCGGCCCGAGUGGUAACCGCUUUUAUUGGGUCUAAAGGGUCUGUAGCCGGCCAAGUAAGUCCCUUGGGAAAUCUGGCAGCUUAACUGUCAGGCUGCUAGGGGAUACUGCUAGGCUUGGGACCGGGAGAGGUGAGAGGUACCUUGGGGGUAGGGGUGAAAUCUUGUGAUCCUCGGGGGACCACCAGUGGCGAAGGCGUCUCACCAGAACGGGUCCGACGGUAAGGGACGAAAGCUAGGGGCACGAACCGGAUUAGAUACCCGGGUAGUCCUAGCCGUAAACGAUGCUCGCUAGGUGUCAGUCACGGUGCGACCGUGAUUGGUGCCGUAGGGAAGCCGUGAAGCGAGCCACCUGGGAAGUAUGGCCGCAAGGCUGAAACUUAAAGGAAUUGGCGGGGGAGCAC
rnacentral:rRNA from 1 species